CAGCAGACACAUUCCAGCCAAUCAGCAGCAGAUCCUCCCUCCCAGACCUUCCACCUCCUGGACAGCAUCCAUUUUGCAUUCAUUGUGAAGCUGCAUUCUUAGUGAGCUGUCCAGGAGGUGGGAGGGUCUGGGAGGGAGGGUCUGCUGCUGAUUGGCUGGAAUGUGUCUGCU
rnacentral:miRNA from 1 species